CCUUUAUAACCUCCAUAAUAACCUCCAUAAUAACCUCCAUAAUAACCUCCAUAAUACCCUUUAUAACCUCCAUAAUAACCUUUAUAACCUCCAUAAUAACCUUUAUAACCUCCAUAAUAACCUUUAUAAGCUCCAUAAUAACCUAUAUAACAACCUUUAUAACCUCCAUAAUAACCUUUAUAACCUCCAUAAUACCCUUUAUAACCUCCAUAAUAACGUUUAUAAGCUCCAUAAUAACCUAUAUAACAACCUUUAUAACCUCCAUAAUAACCUCCAUAAUAACCUAUAUAACCUCCAUAAUAACCUUUAUAACCACCAUAAUAACCUUUAUAACCUCCAUAAUAACCUUUAUAACCUCCAUAAUAACCUUUAUAACCUCCAUAACAACCUAUAUAACCUCCAUAAUAACCUUUAUAACCUCCAUAAUAACCUAUAUAACAACCUCUAUAACCUCCAUAAUAACCUUUAUAACCUCCAUAACAACCUCUAUAAACUCCAUAAUAACCUUUAUAACCUCCACAAUACCCUUUAUAAACUCCUAUUAGCUCUACAACCAGGGUGAGAUGGAACCUUUAUAUCCUCCAUAAUAACCUUUAGAAACUUCAUAAUAUCCUCUAUAACCUUCAUAAUAUUCUCUAUAAUAACCUUUAUAACCUCCAUAAUAACCUUUAUAAGCUCCAUAAUAACGUUUAUUAGCUCUACAACCAGGGUGAGAUGGAACCUCUAUAACCUCCAUAAUAACCUCUAUAACCUCCCUAAUAACCUAUAUAACCUCCUAUAAGCCCUUUAACCAGAGGUAGAGGAGCUGGAACUCUGAGCCCCGCCAGAGGCGGGGGUCUCCCGGGGCCGGAGGCGGGGGUCUCCCGGGGCCAGAGGCGGGGGUCUCCCGGGGCUUUUAUCCCUCACUACCAGGAAGCAGAGAUCAAUAAUAAUCCAGAUCAACCUCUAUCUCCUCUGUCUCAGAUGACAUCACACCACAGCCCCAUGUCCCACCCAGACCUCUGUUGACUGUUGUCUGUUAUCAGGUAUCUCUCUCCUCCUCAGGGAAGCUCAGUCUGUUAUCAGGUCUCUGUCUCUCCUCCUCCUCAGGGAAGCUCAGUCUGUUAUCAGGUCUCUGUCUCUCCUCCUCAGGGAAGCUCAGUCAGUCUGUUAUCAGGUCUCUGUCUCUCCUCCUCAGGAAAGCUCAGUCAGUCUGUUAUCAGGUCUCUGUCUCUCCUCCUCAGGGAAGCUCAGUCAGUCUGUUAUCAGGUCUCUGUCUCUCCUCCUCAGGGAAGCUCAGUCAGUCUGUUAUUAGGUCUCUGUCUCUUCUCCUCAGGGAAGCUCAGUCAGUCUGUUAUCAGGUCUCUGUCUCUCCUCCUCAGGAAAGCUCAGUCAGUCUGUUAUCAGGUCUCUGUCUCUCCUCCUCAGGGAAGCUCAGUCAGUCUGUUAUCAGGUCUCUGUCUCUCCUCCUCAGGGAAGCUCAGUCAGUCUGUUAUCAGGUCUCUGUCUCUCCUCCUCCUCAGGGAAGCUCAGUCAGUCUGUUAUCAGGUCUCUCUCUCCUCCUCAGGGAAGCUCAGUAUGUUAUCAGGUCUCUCUCUCCUCCUCAGGGAAGCUCAGUCUGUUAUCAGGUCUCUCUCUCCUCCUCAGGGAAGCUCAGUCUGUUAUCAGGUCUCCGUCUCUCCUCCUCAGGGAAGCUCAGUCUGUUAUCAGGUCUCUCUCUCCUCCUCAGGGAAGCUCAGUCUGUCUGUUAUCAGGUCUCUGUCUCUUCUCCUCAGGGAAGCUCAGUCUGUUAUCAGGUCUCUGUCUCUUCUCCUCAGGGAAGCUCAGUCUGUUAUCAGGUCUCUCUCUCCUCCUCAGGGAAGCUCAGUAUGUUAUCAGGUCUCUCUCUCCUCCUCAGGGAAGCUCGGUCUGUUAUCAGGUCUCUGUCUCUUCUCCUCAGGGAAGCUCAGUAUGUUAUCAGGUCUCUCUCCUCCUCAGGGAAGCUCAGUCAGUCUGUUAUCAGGUCUCUGUCUCUCCUCCUCCUCAGGGAAGCUCAGUCAGUCUGUUAUCAGGUCUCUGUCUCUCCUCCUCAGGGAAGCUCAGUAUGUUAUCAGGUCUAUGUCUCUCCUCCUCAGGGAAGCUCAGUCUGUUAUCAGGUCUCUGUCUCUUCUCCUCAGGGAAGCUCAGUCUGUUAUCAGGUCUCUGUCUCUCCUCCUCAGGGAAGCAAGUGGUGUUUGAGCAGUACGGAGACAUCCACGUGCCUGCUGUCAUCCUGAAGACCUUCCUCAGAGAGCUUCCUGAACCUCUGCUCACCUUCCCCUCUACCACCAGAUACAGGACAUAGUCCGAGUGGAGAGCAGUCUACGAGUGACCACCUGUAAACACAUCCUAGAGAGACUACCAGAACACAACUACAUGGUGUUGAAGUACCUGCUCUGCUUCUUGAACAUGGUCUCUCAGCAGAGUAUCAUCAACAAGAUGUCUCCCUCCAACCUGGCUUGUGUGUUUGGUGUCAAUCUGUCCUGGCCUUCUCAGGGCUCUGUCUCUCUGACAUCUCUAACACCGCUCAACAUCUUCACUGAGAUCCUUAUAGAACAUUACCAUACAGUCUUCAGCUCCCGCUGCCCACAAGCAGAGGUACUGCC